GGGUUGUGAGGUUAAGCGACUAAGCGUACACGGUGGAUGCCCUAGCAGUCAGAGGCGAUGAAGGACGUGCUAAUCUGCGAUAAGCGCCGGUAAGGUGAUAUGAACCGUUAUAACCGGCGAUUUCCGAAUGGGGAAACCCAGUGUGAUUCGUCACACUAUCAUUAACUGAAUCCAUAGGUUAAUGAGGCGAACCGGGGGAACUGAAACAUCUAAGUACCCCGAGGAAAAGAAAUCAACCGAGAUUCCCCCAGUAGCGGCGAGCGAACGGGGAGGAGCCCAGAGCCUGAAUCAGCAUGUGUGUUAGUGGAAGCGUCUGGAAAGGCGCGCGAUACAGGGUGACAGCCCCGUACACAAAAGCGCAUGUGCUGUGAGCUCGAUGAGUAGGGCGGGACACGUGGUAUCCUGUCUGAAUAUGGGGGGACCAUCCUCCAAGGCUAAAUACUCCUGACUGACCGAUAGUGAACCAGUACCGUGAGGGAAAGGCGAAAAGAACCCCGGCGAGGGGAGUGAAAAAGAACCUGAAACCGUGUACGUACAAGCAGUGGGAGCCCCACCACUAAGCCAGUGGUGAACUCCACAUACGCAUCCUUUGCUGAGGAUACGGUUAACGGAGCGCAAGCGACGUUCAACCGCAAAAGAAGCAGAGGGGGCUUAGUGGUGGGGUGACUGCGUACCUUUUGUAUAAUGGGUCAGCGACUUAUAUUCUGUAGCAAGGUUAACCGUAUAGGGGAGCCGCAGGGAAACCGAGUCUUAACCGGGCGUUAAGUUGCAGGGUAUAGACCCGAAACCCGGUGAUCUAGCCAUGGGCAGGUUGAAGGUUGGGUAACACUAACUGGAGGACCGAACCGACUAAUGUUGAAAAAUUAGCGGAUGACCUGUGGCUGGGGGUGAAAGGCCAAUCAAACCGGGAGAUAGCUGGUUCUCCCCGAAAGCUAUUUAGGUAGCGCCUCGUGAACUCAUCUCCGGGGGUAGAGCACUGUUUCGGCUAGGGGGCCAUCCCGGCUUACCAACCCGAUGCAAACUGCGAAUACCGGAGAAUGUUAUCACGGGAGACACACGGCGGGUGCUAACGUCCGUCGUGAAGAGGGAAACAACCCAGACCGCCAGCUAAGGUCCCAAAGUCAUGGUUAAGUGGGAAACGAUGUGGGAAGGCCCAGACAGCCAGGAUGUUGGCUUAGAAGCAGCCAUCAUUUAAAGAAAGCGUAAUAGCUCACUGGUCGAGUCGGCCUGCGCGGAAGAUGUAACGGGGCUAAACCAUGCACCGAAGCUGCGGCAGCGAACGUAUCACUUAAAGCGAUUCAGCGGGUUACGAUUGACGGAGCGAAGCGACGUCAAAGCGUAUACAAAGUCGAGUCGGUUUAAGGAUACGUU
rnacentral:rRNA from 1 species